GGCUUUUAAGUGUGGUGUAGUGGUUUGAGCAUUGGAGACUAUCACUCUGGAGAUAAGGGUUCGAUUCUCUGCUCAGCCA